GAUGAACGCUGGCUACAGGCUUAACACAUGCGAGUCGAGGGGAAACGACGGGGAAGCUUGCUUCCCCGGGCGUCGACCGGCGCACGGGUGAGUAACGCGUAUCCAACCUGCCUCUGACUGAGGGAUAACCCGUCGAAAGUCGGCCUAAUACCUCAUGGUAUCGUCUGCGGGCAUCCAACGACGAUUAAAGAUUUCAUCGGUCAGGGAUGGGGAUGCGUCUGAUUAGCUUGUUGGCGGGGUAACGGCCCACCAAGGCUACGAUCAGUAGGGGUUCUGAGAGGAAGGUCCCCCACAUUGGAACUGAGACACGGUCCAAACGCCUACGGGAGGCAGCAGUGAGGAAUAUUGGUCAAUGGGCGAGAGCCUGAACCAGCCAAGUAGCGUGCAGGAAGACGGCCCUAUGGGUUGUAAACUGCUUUUAUGCGGGGAUAAAGUGAGGGACGUGUCCCUCAUUGCAGGUACCGCAUGAAUAAGGACCGGCUAAUUCCGUG
rnacentral:rRNA from 1 species